rnacentral:rRNA from 1 species
UAGGGAAUCUUCGGCAAUGGACGAAAGUCUGACCGAGCAACGCCGCGUGAGUGAAGAAGGAUUUCGGAUCGUAAAACUCUGUUGUUAGAGAAGAACAAGGACGUUAGUAACUGAACGUCCCCUGACGGUAUCUAACCAGAAAGCCACGGCUAACUACGUGCCAGCAGCCGCGGUAAUACGUAGGUGGCAAGCGUUGCCCGGAUUUAUUGGGCGUAAAGCGAGCGCAGGCGGUUUCUUAAGUCUGAUGUGAAAGCCCCCGGCUCAACCGGGGAGGGUCAUUGGAAACUGGGAGACUUGAGUUCAGAAGGGGAGAGUGGAAUUCCAUGUGUAGCGGUGAAAUGCGUAGAUAUAUGGAGGAACACCAGUGGCGAAGGCGGCUCUCUGGUCUGUAACUGACGCUGAGGCUCGAAAGCGUGGGGAGCAAACAGG